UACGGAGGAUCCAAGCGUUAUCCGGAUUUAUUGGGUUUAAAGGGUGCGUAGGCGGCCUAUUAAGUCAGGGGUGAAAUACGGUGGCUCAACCAUCGCAGUGCCUUUGAUACUGAUGGGCUUGAACCCAUUUGAAGUGGGCGGAAUAAGACAAGUAGCGGUGAAAUGCAUAGAUAUGUCUUAGAACUCCGAUUGCGAAGGCAGCUCACUAAGCUGGUAUUGACGCUGAUGCACGAAAGCGUGGGGAUCGAACAGG
rnacentral:rRNA from 1 species